rnacentral:rRNA from 1 species
GACGAACGCUGGCGGCGUGCUUAACACAUGCAAGUCGAACGGAAAGGCCCUGCUUUUGUGGGGUGCUCGAGUGGCGAACGGGUGAGUAACCCGUGAGUAACCUGCCCUUGACUUUGGGAUAACUUCAGGAAACUGGGGCUAAUACCGGAUAGGAGCUCCUGCUGCAUGGUGGGGGUUGGAAAGUUUCGGCGGUUGGGGAUGGACUCGCGGCUUAUCAGCUUGUUGGUGGGGUAGUGGCUUACCAAGGCUUUGACGGGUAGCCGGCCUGAGAGGGUGACCGGCCACAUUGGGCCUGAGAUACGGCCCAGACUCGAAUGGGAGGCAACAGUGGAGAAUAUUACACAAUGGGCGGAAGCCUGAUGCGGCAACGCCGCGUGCGGGAUGACGGCAUUCGGGUUGGGAACCGCUGUCGCCUGUGACGAAGCGUGAGUGACGGUACUGGGUGAAGAAGCACCGGCUAACUACGUG